GUCUCUUCGGGGAUGAUUAAACCGGCGCACGGGUGAGUAACACGUGAGUGACCUGCCUUUUAGACUGGAACAACUUACCGAAAGGUGAGCUAAUGCCGGAUGAGUUAUAUAAGUGCAUGUUUAUAUAGGAAAAGUUGGGGAGACCUGACGCUGAAAGAUGGACUCGCGUCCCAUUAGCUAGUUGGUAGGGUAAUGGCCUACCAAGGCGACGAUGGGUAGCCGGCCUGAGAGGGUGGCCGGCCACACUGGGACUGAGACACGGCCCAGACUCCUACGGGAGGCAGCAGUGGGGAAUUUUGCGCAAUGCUCGUAAGAGUGACGCAGCGACGCCGCGUGAAUGACGAAGGCCUUCGGGUCGUAAAGUUCUUUCGACAGGGAAGAAAAUGCCUAUAAGUAACUGUGUAUGUAUUGACGGUACCUGUAUAAGCAGCCCCGGCUAACUCCGUGCCAGCAGCCGCGGUAAUACGGAGGGGGCGAGCGUUGUUCGGAGUGACUGGGCGUAAAGAGCACGUAGGCGGUGUUGUAAGUCAUUAGUCAAAGACUAGAGCUCAACUUUAGUAAGGCUAGUGAUACUAUAAUACUAGAGUAUCAGAGAGGAUUGCAGAAUUCCUGGUGUAGCGGUGAAAUGCGUAGAUAUCAGGAGGAAUACCGUUAGCGAAGGCGGCAAUCUGGCUGGAAACUGACGCUGAGGUGCGAAAGCGUGGGUAGCAAACAGGAUUAGAUACCCUGGUAGUCCACGCUGUAAACGAUGGAUGCUAGGUGUUGGGCUUUUAAGUUCAGUGCCGCAGCAAACGCGAUAAGCAUCCCGCCUGGGGAGUA
rnacentral:rRNA from 1 species